GCCUGAGGCAUCUCCAGCCACAGCAGGGCUCCAGUCUGAGCCUGGGGGACCAGGCAUCACUGACCCUUUUGAUCCCUACUCAGGUGCUCAGCUGCCCCAGGGAGCCACCGCUGGAGCCCAGGCCAUGCCCCACUGGAGCAGAACUGAUUUCAGCCAGUCCCCAGAUGGAUGAGUCCCUGCAGAGCUCAGUCCCUCCUCGCAGAAGACAUUGUAGUCAAAGACCUAAUGAUCUUGAACAGGCUUCCUCCCAGGAGAAGGAACCUGAACAUCCUAGGGUGCUUUGAAGAUGUACCAGCCCUAGCCUAGACAAAAAAUAACUUAGUCCCAGCCCCAGUAUUGAAAACUCUUAAUAUUGCAAAGCCUUAAUAUUGAUCUUGAAGCUCUAAUAUUGGAAAGCCUUAAUAUUGCAAAUCCCUAUCUCCACUUAUGCAAAAACAAUGCCGUUUCU